GACGAACGCUGGCGGCGUGCUUAACACAUGCAAGUCGAGCGGUAAGGCCCUUUCGGGGGUACACGAGCGGCGAACGGGUGAGUAACACGUGGGUGACCUGCCCUCAGCUCUGGGAUAAGCCCGGGAAACUGGGUCUAAUACCGGAUAUGACUUCAUGACGCAUGUUGUGGAGUGGAAAGCCUUGUGCGGCUGAGGGAUGGGCCCGCGGCCUUAUCAGCUUGUUGGNGGGUGA
rnacentral:rRNA from 1 species